GCGUGAGUGAGGAAGGCCUUCGGGUCGUAAAGCUCUGUCAGUAGGGAAGAAAUGCUAUAUGGUUAAUACCUGUAUAGUUUGACGGUACCUGCAAAGGAAGCACCGGCUAACUCCGUGCCAGCAGCCGCGGUAAUACGGAGGGUGCAAGCGUUGUUCGGAAUCACUGGGCGUAAAGGGAGCGCAGGCGGUUUGUCAAGUCAGAUGUGAAAGCCCACGGCUCAACCGUGGAAGUGCACUUGAAACUGGCAGACUUGAGUAUCAGAGGGGAAAGUGGAAUUCCCGGUGUAGAGGUGAAAUUCGUAGAUAUCGGGAGGAAUACCGGUGGCGAAGGCGACUUUCUGGCUGAAUACUGACGCUGAGGCUCGAAAGCGUGGGGAGCGAACAGGAUUAGAUACCCUGGUAGUUCCACGCCCGUAAAACGAUGUUGCACUAGAUGUAGGAGGUAUUGGAUCCCCUUCUGUGUCGCAGCUUCACCGCAUU
rnacentral:rRNA from 1 species